UGUAUUUUUUAAAUUUUUACAACGCCAUUAAAAUGUUUUUUUUUAAUUCUAAGCGUAAGUUCUUGACCAUAACUUUAUAAGAAUUUUUUUUUAUUACAAUUUCGUUUAAAAAAAGAAAAAAGCCUGAACAGUUUUAAGGAUUUAACUUACUUUAAGUGUUUAAUAAUAAUUUUGUUAGUUCUUAUCGAUAUUUCGUAUGAGUAUUAUGCUGCAAUUUUUGCAACACAGGUCGAUAGUCUCGAAAAUUCCCGAAAGUUAUGAAAAUAUAAUAGUAGGCUAUCUAUGGGCCUAUAAAAUCAGUCUAUCAAAAUCAACAGAAAAGUGGAGUCGAUUCCGUAGCUUUAAAAAGAAAGAAAACUUUUGCGAAAAUGUUAAACCUUUACAUGUUAAAUAUAUUAAAUGAACCAAAAACAUUCUGGAAAGUACGUAUAUCCUUUGCCGUAAAUUGUGCAGACUCAUCGUGUGCUUUAGCAUUACAUUUCUCUGAGAAAGAAGUUUGUGCUUCAAGAGCACUUUGCCAAGGAUUCGAUUCGGAAGUUAAAUAACUCAACUACCUUUACCACCAGCAAGAUUGUGACUUCGGCGGUAUUGGCACUGGUAGUAUGAAAAUUAUUGGAAAAGCUGUUCGAGGAACACCUCGAUAAAUUUCAUAGUACUAGGGCCAAUAAAGGCCAGGACCUCGAGAUUUGCAGUGGAUUCGUGAGCCAAGGAUUACAGAAUACCGCGAGGAAACGAAAUAAAAAUUAUAAAUAUA